AGGUGAAAAGAACCCCGGGAGGGGAGUGAAAUAGAACCUGAAACCUUAUGCCUACAAGCAGAUAGAGUCUUAAGAGAGAUGAUAUCGUACUUUUUGUAGAACGGGCCAGCGAGUUAUGGUGUGCGGCAAGGUUAAGUAAUGAAGUUACGGAGCCGUAGGGAAACCGAGUCUGAAUAGGGCGAGAUAGUCGUAUGCCAUAGACCCGAAACCAGGUGAUCUAUCCAUGAGCAGGUUGAAGUGAAAGUAAAAUUUCAUGGAGGACCGAACCGGGUAGCGUUUAAAAGCUAUCGGAUGACUUGUGGAUAGGGGUGAAAAGCCAAUCGAACUUGGAGAUAGCUGGUUCUCCUCGAAAUAGCUUUAGGGCUAGCCUCAAUUUAGUUUACAGGGGGUAGAGCACUGAAUACCGUAGGGGUGUUAGACAUUACCGAAAGUUAUCAAACUGCGAAUACCUGAUAAAUGAUGAUUGGGAGUCAGACUAUGUGGGAUAAGCUUCAUAGUCAAAAGGGAAAGAGCCCAGACCACCAGCUAAGGUCCCUAAAUAUAGAUUAAGUGGUAAAGGAUGUUUUACUACUCAGACAACCAGGAUGUUGGCUUAGAAGCAGCCAUACAUUUAAAGAGUGCGUAAUAGCUCACUGGUCAAGUGGUAGAGCGCCGAAAAUGAACGGGGCUAAAAUCUAAUACCGAAGCUGUGGACUAAUUAAAUUAGUGGUAGAGGAGCAUUGUGUAAGGGGUGAAGCUAAGUUGGAAGACGAAGUGGACUUUACAGAAGAGAGAAUGCUGGCAUGAGUAGCGAAAAGGAGGGUGAGAAUCCCUCCCGUCGAAAGCCUAAGGAUUCCUGAGGAAGGCUCGUCCUCUCAGGGUAAGUCGGGACCUAAGCCCAGGCUGAAAAGCGUAAGCGAUGGACAACAGGUUGAGAUUCCUGUACUAUCUUUGAAUGUUUAAGAGAUGUACUGACGCAGGAGGAUAUGUUGAGCGUGUGAAUGGUAGAGCACGUCUAAGCAAGUAGGUAGAGAAUAGAGGCAAAUCCCUAUUCUUAAUAUCGAGAUGUGAUGGGGAGCGAAAAACAAGUAGUGAAGCAACAAAUUCCAAACUGCCAAGAAAAGGUACUAUUGAGUGAGAAGAUACCCGUACCAAAACCGACACAGGUAGGCAAGGAGAGAAUCCUAAGACGCGCGGAAGAACCUUUGUUAAGGAACUCGGCAAAAUGACCCCGUAACUUCGGGAGAAGGGGUACCAUUAGAUGUGAAGAGCAUACGCUCGGAGCAUAGAGUGGUCGCAGAGAAUAGGCCCAAGCAACUGUUUACCAAAAACACAAGUCUCUGCUAAAUCGAAAGAUGAAGUAUAGGGGCUGACACCUGCCCGGUGCUGGAAGGUUAAGGGGAAAUGUUAGAGCAAUCGAAGCAUAGAACUUAAGCCCCAGUAAACGGCGGCCGUAACUAUAACGGUCCUAAGGUAGCGAAAUUCCUUGUCGGGUAAGUUCCGACCCGCACGAAAGGUGUAAUGAUUUGGGCACUGUCUCAACAAAGGAUCCGGUGAAAUUGUAGUAGUCGUGAAGAUGCGACUUACCCACGAUAGGACGGAAAGACCCCGUGGAGCUUUACUGUAGGCUGGCAUUGGAAUUUGGUAUUAAAUGUACAGGAUAGGUGGGAGACUGAGAAACGAGAGCGCCAGUUUUCGUGGAGUCGCUGUUGGGAUACCACUCUUUUGAUACUAAAUUUCUAACUUGAUACUCUGAAGCGAGUAUAAGGACACUGUCAGUUGGGCAGUUUGACUGGGGCGGUCGCCUCCUAAAGAGUAACGGAGGCGUUCAAAGGUUCCCUCAGAAUGGAAGGAAAUCAUUCAAAGAGUGCAAAGGCAAAAGGGAGCUUAACUGCGACACCAACAAGUGGAGCAGAUAGGAAACUAGGACUUAGUGAUCCGGUGGUACCGAGUGGAAGGGCCAUCGCUCAACGGAUAAAAGCUACCCCGGGGAUAACAGGCUUAUCUCCCCCAAGAGUUCACAUCGACGGGGAGGUUUGGCACCUCGAUGUCGGCUCGUCUCAUCCUGGGGCUGGAGUAGGUCCCAAGGGUUGGGCUGUUCGCCCAUUAAAGAGGCACGCGAGCUGGGUUCAG
rnacentral:rRNA from 1 species